GUUCUCCCACCUCCGAUCACUCCCAUGUACACGUCACCAGGCUACAUUCACUCUGUACACUCGUUCACUUGCUCUGGUCGCCCCUCAAUAGCAAUAACUAUUCUCACUCAAGCACCUUGCUUAGCGUAUGGAGUGUUAUUUAGAUGCCAUUCAUGCGCAGGAGGCACGUCCGCUCUCCACGGAGCGCGGAGUGUGUGUGUGUGGGUGUAUUUACCUAAUUGUAUUUACCUAAUUGUAACAUACGGGAAAAGAGC